rnacentral:rRNA from 1 species
UGGGGAAUCUUGCGCAAUGGGCGAAAGCCUGACGCAGCCAUGCCGCGUGGAUGAUGAAGGUCUUAGGAUUGUAAAUUCUUUCACCGGGGACGAUAAUGACGGUACCCGGAGAAGAAGCCCCGGCUAACUUCGUGCCAGCAGCCGCGGUAAUACGAAGGGGGCUAGCGUUGCUCGGAAUUACUGGGCGUAAAGGGAGCGUAGGCGGACUGUUAAGUUAGAGGUGAAAGCCCAGGGCUCAACCUUGGAAUUGCCUUUGAUACUGGCAGUCUUGAGUACGGAAGAGGUAUGUGGAACUCCGAGUGUAGAGGUGAAAUUCGUAGAUAUUCGGAAGAACACCAGUGGCGAAGGCGACAUACUGGUCCGUUACUGACGCUGAGGCUCGAAAGCGUGGGGAGCAAACA